AGUGAACGCUGGCGGUAGGCCUAACACAUGCAAGUCGAACGGCAGCACAGUAAGAGCUUGCUCUUACGGGUGGCGCGUGGCGGACGGGUGAGGAAUACAUCGGAAUCUACUUUUUCGUGGGGGAUAACGUAGGGAAACUUACGCUAAUACCGCAUACGACCUACGGGUGAAAGCAGGGGAUCUUCGGACCUUGCGCGAUUGAAUGAGCCGAUGUCGGAUUAGCUAGUUGGCGGGGUAAAGGCCCACCAAGGCGACGAUCCGUAGCUGGUCUGAGAGGAUGAUCGGCCACACUGGAACUGAGACACGGUCCAGACUCCUAGGGGAGGCAGCAGUGGGGAAUAUUGGACAAUAGGCGCAAGCCUGAUCCAGCCAUACCGCGUGGGUGAAGAAGGCCUUCGGGUUGUAAAGCCCUUUUGUUGGGAAAGAAAAGCAGCAGGUUAAUACCCCGCUGUUCUGACGGUACCCAAAGAAUAAGCACCGGCUAACUUCGUG
rnacentral:rRNA from 1 species